UAUAUUUGUCAUCCAAAAUACACAAACAAAUUAGGCAAUAAGUACAUCUUGGAAAGUUACACCCUCUAUUCUAUAUAUUACUUUAUUGAUAUCUGGUGACAAAAAUAUUUUCAUUUGCAUUUCUAAAAGUUAUAUGAACAUUGAAUUAAAAAAUGAAGCACGGGAUGAUGAAAAUAAAUUUUAAUAACUGCCACCCCAUUGUUUUUCUACCUUGGUAAGUUGCCUUAAAUCUUCUCAGGAAAAGAUGUCUUCUAGUUACAAAUGCCACAUGGCAAAGUACCUCAAAACUUUCCACAUUAAAAUAACCCUUUUCUUUUUGUUCACACUUUUGUUGCAGGUCAGGAAUUUAAGAAGUCCUCACACAGGCAACUUAUGCUCAAGGAGUCUCACGUGGUUGCAGUCAGAUGUUGCUGGGACUGCGGUCAGAUGAAGGACCAACGGGGCAUAACGUCCAAUAUGGCUCACUCAAGUGAAUAAAGCAAGAGGAAGUUGCCUAACUGGGAUGGCCAGUCUUUAAUUCUAUGAUUUCAACUCCCUGUUGUGAGAGAUUCCUGGAAAGGGGUAUCAAGACCCUUUUGCAGGAAGGAAGCCAGCUCUGAUGCCUGAGUGGUGGUCAUGAAGGAUGCCUGUGAUGGGACAAAGAACCCAAUAAUUUAAUGCCAAAUAGUCACGCUUGAGAGGAAAAGCUCAGCUCCGUGACAUGUUUGCAGGUUUUCUUUCAACUGUGCCAAACCCUCUCAUCCCGUAACGGGAUGUGGACUGACUGCCCAUGGAGGCAAUGAGUACUACAGAUAUGUAGUUUUCAUACAAUUAUUUAUGUCAGCCUCUGGAAACAUGUUGAAUUGAGGUAGGUGGUAGGGUAUCUAGAAGUUUGGUCUUUAUCUCAACUUCACUAUUGAUUUUGGAAUAAAGCCUGGGAAAAUGC